rnacentral:pre_miRNA from 1 species
GAUUUUAAUUGAAAAAGUCAUCAACAACAAAGAUGUAUAACUCAUCAAGAUCUAUAACUUUUAUGUUGGUAAUUUCUUCAUGCGAUAAAGUGAUAGUAAUAAUAUUGUUCACCAAAUUCACAUAUCUCUCAUCUGGUUUAUAAAGUAUAACAUAGAUAUGUGCAUUUUGUAAACAAUAUUACUACACUUUGUUAGAUGAAGAAAUGACAAAUAUAAAAGUUAUAGAUCUUAAUGAGUUAUACAACUUUGUUGUUGAUGACUUUUUUAGAGUAAAUC